CAGUAGCCGCGGUAACACAGAGGGUGCGAGCGUUAAUCGGAUUUACUGGGCGUAAAGCGUGCGUAGGCGGCUUCUUAAGUCGGAUGUGAAAUCCCUGAGCUUAACUUAGGAAUUGCAUUCGAUACUGGGAAGCUAGAGUAUGGGAGAGGAUGGUAGAAUUCCAGGUGUAGCGGUGAAAUGCGUAGAGAUCUGGAGGAAUACCGAUGGCGAAGGCAGCCAUCUGGCCUAAUACUGACGCUGAGGUACGAAAGCAUGGGGAGCAAACAGGAUUAGAUACCCGUGUAGUCCCUGUCUCUUAUAA
rnacentral:rRNA from 1 species